CUACGGGUGGCACCAGUCGAGAAUCUUUAGCAAUGGGCGAAAGCCUGACUAUGCGACGCCGCGUGAGGGAUGAAUGUUUUCGGAUUGUAAACCUCUUUCGAUUGGAAAGAAAAUUCUAGUGUUAAUAGCUCUAGAACUGACGGUACCAAGAGAAGAAGUCACGGCCAACUCCGUGCCAGCAGCCGCGGUAAUACGGAGGUGGCAAGCGUUACUCUGAUUUAUUGGGUGUAAAGGGCAGGUAGGUGGUUAGUAAGUUGGAAGUGAAAUUUCUUUGCUUAACAAAGAAACUGCUUUCAAAACUGCAUGGCUAGAGGCUAGGAGAGGAAAGCGGAAUUCCCGGUGUAAGAGUGAAAUCUGUAGAUAUCGGGAGGAACACCAGUAGCGAAGGCGGCUUUCUGGUCUAGCUCUGACACUAAGCUGCGAAAGCUAAGGUAGCGAACAGGAUUAGAUACCCGGGUAGUC
rnacentral:rRNA from 1 species